UGGGGAAUUUUGCACAAUGGGGGAAACCCUGAUGCAGCGACGCCGCGUGAUUUAGAAGGCCUUCGGGUUGUAAAAAUCCUUUUUAUGGGAUGAAAAUGACAGUACCAUAAGAAUAAGGUCCGGCUAAAUACGUGCCAGCAGCCGCGGUAAUACGUAUGGACCGAGCGUUGUCCGGAAUCAUUGGGCGUAAAGGGUACGUAGGCGGCCCAGUAAGUUAGAAGUGAAAUAAUAUAGCUCAACUAUAUAAAGCUUUUAAAACUGCUAGGCUUGAGAGAUGGAAGGGAAAGUGGAAUUCCGAGUGUAGCGGUGAAAUGCGCAGAUAUGAGGAAGAAUACCGGUGGCGAAGGCGACUUUCUGGUCAUCAUCUGACGCUGAGGUACGAAAGCGUGGGUAGCAAACAGG
rnacentral:rRNA from 1 species